rnacentral:rRNA from 1 species
GCAUGAUAUUUUUAUUAAAGAAUUUCGGUUAUCGAUGGGGAUGCGUUCCAUUAGUUUGUUGGCGGGGUAACGGCCCACCAAGACUACGAUGGAUAGGGGUUCUGAGAGGAAGGUCCCCCACAUUGGAACUGAGACACGGUCCAAACUCCUACGGGAGGCAGCAGUGAGGAAUAUUGGUCAAUGGGCGAGAGCCUGAACCAGCCAAGUAGCGUGAAGGAUGAAGGCUCUAUGGGUCGUAAACUUCUUUUAUAUGGGAAUAAAGUAUUCCACGUGUGGAAUUUUGUAUGUACCAUAUGAAUAAGGAUCGGCUAACUCCGUGCCAGCAGCCGCGGUAAUACGGAGGAUCCGAGCGUUAUCCGGAUUUAUUGGGUUUAAAGGGAGCGUAGGUGGAUUGUUAAGUCAGUUGUGAAAGUUUGCGGCUCAACCGUAAAAUUGCAGUUGAAACUGGCAGUCUUGAGUACAGUAGAGGUGGGCGGAAUUCGUGGUGUAGCGGUGAAAUGCUUAGAUAUCACGAAGAACUCCGAUUGCGAAGGCAGCUCACUAGACUGUUACUGACACUGAUGCUCGAAAGUGUGGGUAUCAAACAGGAUUAGAUACCCUGGUAGUCCACACAGUAAACGAUGAAUACUCGCUGUUUGCGAUAUACAGUAAGCGGCC